CUUAAAUUUUAUCAUUGGUAGCAAAUACCCUUAGUUUUCCUUACAGUGACAUUCACUUUAUUCAUGUUUGAGAAAAUGCCUGUCAGGUACCCAUGUCUGAAUACCCUAGCUUGUCUCACAGUUCAGAACAGCCUCACAAGUGCUUUUCCUCAAGACAGCAACCAUACUUUGUUAUCCCCAGAAGUACUUUGUGCACACUUCUCAUUUCUUCAUACAGAAUAUUCAAGAGUCAAGAUUUAAAAUAAGUAAAUCCACUGCCUUAUGAAGAACAUUGAAUAAAACUUCCCCUUCAACUGCAAGGAAGACAAUUUCAUUUUCCAGCUGACCAUGAAGAAGAACACCGUGGCUACUGGUGCCUUGAUGGAAUCUCAGGUGCUUUUAUCCAUCAUUGCUUUUUCCUUUUUCCUUGUGGGGUCUUACUGUGUUGCCCAGGCUGGCCUUCAACUGCUGGCUCAAGGGAUCCUUCUGCCCUAGCCUUUGGAGUAGCUAGGAGCACAGGCAGACACCACCAGAUCUUGAACUCCAUCAUUGUUUUGUGGCCGCCAGUGGGCAUGUCCUUAGUGGAAAAGGUAAUACCACCUUAGUACAUUAAGACAAUGUGUUGACUUUGCCAAUCCCAUAAACAAAAACAAAAACAACAACCAAAAAACUGGAAGUCUGCAGACCGUACCGCUGUACUUUGAGAACUGUUGUCUUAAACUUUCCUGAUUAAUUUAGAUUUAAUUGCAAGCAAUGAAACCCCCAAAUAAUAGUGGCUGAAACAAAAUAGAAACUUGUUUCUCAUGGAAAAUUGUAGCAUUUAUCCAGAGCUGGAUUAAGUGUUACACUCCAGAAAGUGGUCAGAGGUCUAGAUUCCUGCCUUGCUUCAUCAUGUAUAGCUUUCUUCUCAAAAAUCACUUCAUAAUGGCUGCUUUAGCCCAAGUCAUCACAUCCACAUUAUACCCAGGAAGGAGAAACCACAAAGAAAGAUAAAGGGGCUUGGAGCAACUUUUAAAUUGCCACACAACGUAUCUGUCAGACUUCUGACAAUGAACACAUUGAGCUAAAAAAAAGUCAAUACCUCCAUUAUGUAUGGCUAAGUGUAUAGCCAAAAGCUGGAAAAAGGAAUCUUGGGUGAUAAUUAGGUGUCUAUUACAGUUUACCAUGUUAGCUACCAAGUAUUCAUUCCUUACCUUUCCCCCACUGAUAAGACACCUGUCUGUUCAAGUUUCCAUGCAGUGACUGCAUUUACCUCUGGAAAUGCACCAUUCUCUCUAUUCAGUCUUAAAGUGACCACUUGGUAUUAGAUGACUUAUAAAUGAAAAAAAUAUCUGCCCCUACAUACCUGUAUGUAAUAACGAUUUCCAUUCAGAAGGGAAAGAAUGGGUAAUCCAACUGUUAGUAGUGCCUAGCAAUAGUCAAAUCCAUUACCACCAUCCCUUAGCAGAAAAGCUCAGUAAAAUACAGAACUCAUCUGCUUAAAGGAAGUAAAAAUCCAACGAGGCACAUCACCAAAGAGGAGCAGACAUUUUAGAGUUGAGCUGACUUCUAUGGCUGCAUUUAUCUUGAGGGAAAAUCAAUUCUCGUUGCAGCCAGGAGGCUAGAAAUUUUGCUUCUUUAUUUUGUAAAGCUAGCUGCUAAGGGACAGAAACCAAGAGAGUUUUUGGUAAAGAUAUGGGGGAGCCUCAAGCCUAUGUUAUUCCCCAUGAAAAAUUUUGUAAAAUUGUGGAGGUGUUUAGGAUGGAGUACAGAACAUAAAGCCUCACAAAACAAACAUGAUUCAGGACCUAGCAAGAGAGGUCUGGAGACACGUAGGUGAUCUUUACUAGGGAAUUUGGGGCCAGAGACAAAUCAAAGGUAGACUGAAACUUCUGCCAAGAUUUGAAACUCUGAUUUGCCAGGUUGGGUUUAAUUAAAUUUAUGAACCUAACAGGAGGAAGGAUAAACUUCUCUGGAGGAAGAUGUCACCAGAACCCUGUAACAUUUAUAUAUAUAACAUCUGGAAAUGAAUUGAAGAUUCUAAGGCAUGCCAACAACAGGAUGACAUGAUUAACAUCUAAUAGAAAAAUAUAGACAAGAAAUAGACCUACGCAUGAUCCAAACAUUGACAAGAACUCUAACUAUAACUAACAUGUUUGAGACAAUUACAGAUAAAACAAAGACUUUGAUUAGAAAUUUAUAAAAGUGAAAUGGGCAUUCUAUAGCUGAAUAUGGUAUCUGGAAUUGAGAACACAUUAGAUGGAUAUAAUAAUGGUUUUGGCAAAAGAUAGGAUUAGUGAGUUAUCAGUUCAGUAAAAAAAGCACACUGCAGCCUGAGAAGAAAAUAAUGGAAGAGGCAAGAGCUUUGGAGGCAGGUGAACACAAAAGACUUUUAGAAGUAAUAAAUUAGAAUCUCUAAGGAUGAGGUAUGAGUCAUUUGACCAAUUCCAAAAAAUAAGAAGGACAAAAAAAAAUAGAAUUACAGUAAGCACGUCUUAUAAACCAAUGGAAAGUUCAAUAUGAAACAUCUUAAAGCUACCAAGGAGAGGGGAAAAGAUGUGUUUUUUCAAAGCAAUAGUAGGUCUUCUCUCAUAGAAACAAUGAGAACCAAAAUGACAAUAAUACAUUUUAAGUACUUAAAAGAAAAUAACUGUCAAUCUAGGAAUCUGCACCCAGCAAAAACACCCUUCAAAAAGAUGAGAUAAAGCUAUUUUUUAAAAAAACAAAACCAGGGUAAUUUGUUGCUAGCAAACUUAUAAAUACUGAUCAAAAGAAAGCUAACAAUUUUUUAAAUUUAUUUUUUUUUUUUAAAAAGAGAAUUUCUUUUUAAUAUUUAUUUUUUAGUUUUUCAGUGGACACAACAUCUUUAUUUUAUUUGUAUGUGGUGCUGAGGAUCGAACGCAGCACCAUGCGCAUGCCAGGCAAGCGCGCUACUGCUUGAGCCACAUCCCCAGCCCAAAAAGCUAACAAUUUUAUCCCAAUAUCAGACAAAGUGGUUUGCCUUCUUAUUUACUCAACACUGUCUUUGGUUGAAAAAAAAAAUCCUUAAUUUUAAGUAAGUCCAUUUUUUUCCUCUCUCUGAUUGGUAUUGUUUGUGUCUAGAUGAACGGUAUCAACUUUAAAACAAAUCAAGUCUUUGUAUUCCCCCCUUCAAAUAUGUCCAUGUUCUAAUUCCUAAAAUUUGUGAACAUGCUACAUUAAAUUAAGGUACUGACUUGGUAGAUUAUCCUGGACUAUCAAAGCGAAAAAGGAAGGCAGAACAGUUACAGAGUUGCCUCAGAAAAAGAGGCAGGAGUGAUCCAAGCAUGAGAGGUAGUCCACUUGCUAUUAAUGCUUAGAAGAUGGAGGAAAGGGCCAUUAUCCUAGGAAUGUGGGCGGCUUCUGGAGACCAAGGACAGCUGUUGGCUGACAGCAAGGAAACAGGAACCUUAGUCCUACAACUGCCAGAAUGUGAAUUCUGCCAACACCUGAAUGAGCAAAGAUGUGUCUCCCCUUGAGACUCCUGCUGAUUCCUUGCUUUGGGCCUUAUGAGACUCAAAGCUGAGAAACCAGCCAAGUCUCCCAAAGUUCCAGCCUACAGGCCUGUGACUUAAUAUAUUUGUGUUGUUGAAGUCUAAUAAAUUUGUAAUAAUUUGUUAUGGCAAUAUAAAACUAUAACAGUAUAGGAAUCUUAUUUCUGGAUUAUCCUUUUCCCAUUGGUGUGUUUGGUAUGUUUUUCACCAGUUAAUAUAACCAUUGAAUGUUUUAAUUCAUAUACUCUGAGAUCUGGUAGUGUAAGUCUAUCAUUUUGUUUAACAUUGCUUAUGUUCUUCUUGUCCCUUUGUAUUUCUAUGUAAAAUUUAAAAUUGGCCUACUGCCUCCAAAUUAAAAAACAGAAACCCCAUACUGCUAUUUCUUAUUGUGAUUGCAUUUUAUCUCCAAAUCAGUCAAGGGAGGCUUGACAUUAUUUACAAUCUUGAGUCUUCUACUCCAUGAGCAC
rnacentral:lncRNA from 1 species